rnacentral:lncRNA from 1 species
GUUGGUCUUGACUCCUACGACCCUCUCAUUGGGUCUAGGUGGAAGGAUCCUUGUGCCGGUUGGCACCUUGAUGGUGGUCUUCGUCUUGGAUGAUGAUCCUUUGAGGAGUAGGGGUUGUGGCGGUGCGGUGAGAACUGGUUGAGCAUGGUAAGAUUGGGCGGAGCUGCGUUGGCGUAAUGGCAUGGCUUCUAGCUGUCGCUCUGUGUUGGCCGGGACGAGAGCACGGGCAUCGGGGUCUUCUACAGGCUCCAUGUUGAGGUUGAAGGGGACGACUUCCCAAUCAUCGUGGUACUUCUCGGCCAUUGGAUCUGCAAGGGACUAAUCAAGCUCUAAUUGAAGGAG